GCGUGAGUGAUGAAGGCCUUAGGGUUGUAAAGCUCUUUUAGUGGUGAAGAUAAUGACGGUAACCACAGAAAAAGCCCCGGCUAACUUCGUGCCAGCAGCCGCGGUAAUACGAAGGGGGCUAGCGUUGUUCGGAUUUACUGGGCGUAAAGCGCACGUAGGCGGAUUGGUAAGUUAGAGGUGAAAUCCCGGGGCUCAACUCCGGAACUGCCUUUAAUACUGCCAAUCUCGAGUCCGAGAGAGGUGAGUGGAACUCCUAGUGUAGAGGUGGAAUUCGU
rnacentral:rRNA from 1 species